UUGCCUUCGAAGUCUUCAAAUAAAAAUAGUUCCCCUUCACAUCCUCGCCCCGAUGUACCUCACGAGCCCGACUUUUCUCUGGCGGCGUCCGUAUAUGAAGAGGCGGCGCCGGCUUGAGGGUAUCGGGCGGAGGAGGCCUGGGGACGACAAGGUGGUUCCCUCAUCUCACAGAAAACCGAGCGUGUUCUUCCUCCCUCCCCUCUCGAGACUUGCGGCGGCUAUGGAGCGUGGGCACACAUUAGCAACGGAUGGAGGGCUGCAGCACCGGAUCGAGAUGAGUCCAUCUCCCGCUCUCUCUCUAUCUAGAUCCCUCUGGAUGGUGUGUGUGCUCCGCGCCGGCCAUGUGUGCGACCGGGAACGAACAAAUCAGACCUAGGUGGAUGUGACUGGAUGGCUGGAGGCCUUCGCCGCCGACCCACACAUCGGCACCACCUCCCGCGUCGUCUCCAAGUCCGUUCCCUGCUGAUUAGUUCUUCUUCUGUCUGUUGGUCUCAGUUAGUUCGUCCCUUCAUCAUCAGGCCAUCAGUCAUCACUACAGAUGGAGCAAGGAGGAGCAUUCAGCUGUACUUUCCAUAGCCACUGAUUCCACCACGCAGGAAUUGUCAGAAUGGAAUGCGAAAUAUUGCGACAAGUUUGGAUUUGUCUUCAUGAUAUGCGUGUCCAGGAGGACCGCCCCUGAGGUGCACAAAAGUGAGGCCACGACGUGGAGCUAGGCGGCGGUGGACUGGAGAACUUCUCUCUGUUAAUUCUGUCUUUCUCUCUCUUAAUAAGUUUAUCUAUGUACUCUUUGUGUUAACUGUGUGUGUGUGUGUGUGUUAAUCCUGUAUGAAGAAUCAACAUAAUUCUGUGAAUUUCAGACUUUGGGUGAAAGCAACGGGUUCAGUGGGCAUGCGUGACUAUAUCCUUCUGGUGCAUUUAAUAUAUGUAAUUGAGCGAACAAGUUGCAUAAUGACAGUUUCCUAUUUUCUUUCUAUAGAGUUAUGUUAUCCAAUGCACAUAAUUAGUCAGAAGAGGGAGCUUUCUGAUGCAGGUACAACUAAACACUAUAUUUAGAAGACCAAAGCCGUAAGGAUCUAUCUGGACUAAUGACAUUUGUUUAUCUCUUGUUGUCGGAUCGAUUAAAGUAAAUGUACCUGGGUGUUCUGCAGAUUGCACACAAUCAAGACUUGGGGUUGUAGCUAGGUGUUCAAGUUUUAGCUGCAGCUUGAUAGUUUAUUCCACUUGCAGAGAGAGUGGAAAUAUUGCCUAAAGGUUUAACCAUUCUCUUUCCGAUUGUUCGUCUAUUGUCCAAGCUUUGAAUGAUAUAAGUUGGAGGUUUGAUCUUACUUACCUAUUUAUCAUUCUAAAGUAAGUUCAAAUAAGAAUCGUUUAUUCAUCAUUUUGUCCUUUUAGUUGAGUAGUUGAUGAGUAAAACACCAACUAGGCAAUAUUUUCUGCAGCAACGCGCGGGGUAUCAUCUAGUUUCAUAAAUAAUUGUGACAUUGUCAUGGACGUCCUGUUGGUGAUGACGUGUUGGCCUUGCCGAUGUCGUUUAGCAGCAAAAAAUAACACUGUACAUGCUUGAAAAAAUCCAGAAAAAUACGAACAUCCAUAUGAAAUCCAUGACUUAAACCGAGUGCACUUGUUUCA